UAUGAAUCCGCCUGCCAAGGUUCCUCGGGGGCGCACAACUCCCGAGGCUAAGAGGGAAGCCGGUGACUUUCGAGGAAGGCCGGCGCUGCCCCCGCAACUGUAGGCGGCGAGCCAAGCUCAUUCAUGUCACUGAGGCGGAAAAGCCUCGGGAAGACGAGCUAAGGCGACGACCCGCGAGCCAGGAGACCUGCCUUGGCGCAACAACGUCC
rnacentral:ncRNA from 2 species